UACGGAGGGUGCAAGCGUUAAUCGGAAUUACUGGGCGUAAAGCGUGCGCAGGCGGAUAUGUAAGUUAGAAGUGAAAUCCCCGGGCUCAACCUGGGAACUGCUUUUAAGACUGCGUAUCUAGAGUUUGUCAGAGGGGGGUGGAAUUCCAAGUGUAGCAGUGAAAUGCGUAGAGAUUUGGAGGAACACCGAUGGCGAAGGCAGCCCCCUGGGAUAAAACUGACGCUCAUGCACGAAAGCGUGGGUAGCAAACAGG
rnacentral:rRNA from 1 species